GCCUUCGUGGUUUAAAGGUAGCACACUCGGCUCGUAUUCGAGAAAUCCAGAUUCAUGUCCUGGUGAGGGCA
rnacentral:tRNA from 1 species